GACGAACGCUUGCGGCGUGCCUAAGAAAUGCAAGUCGAACGGGGGCAGCAAUGCCCCAGUGGCGAACGGUCGCGUAACACGUAGGCAACCUGCCCUAAAGUGGGGGACAACGUUCCGAAAGGGGCGCUAAUACCGCAUAUUAACGACAGACGGCAUCGUUUGUUGUUCAAAGCCUUCGGGCGCUUUGGGAUGGGCUUGCGGCCUAUCAGCUAGUUGGUGGGGUAACGGCCUACCAAGGCGUUGACGGGUAGCUGGUCUGAGAGGAUGUCCAGCCGGAUUGGGACUGAGAUACGGCCCAGACUCCUACGGGGGGCAGCAAUUAGGAAUCUUGCACAAUGGGGGAAACCCUGAUGCAGCGACGCCGCGUGGAGGAUGACGGCCUUCGGGUUGUAAACUCCUUUUUUCCGGGAAGAAGAAUGUGACGGUACCGGAAGAAUAAGCCCCGGCUAACUACGUGCCAGCAGCAGCGGUAAUACGUAGGGGGCGAGCGUUGUCCGAAGUUACUGGGCGUAAAGCGCGCGUAGGCGGCUUUUUAAGUCUGAGGUGAAAGGUUCACGGCUCAACCGGAACAUUGCCUUGGAUACUGGAGAGCUUGAGUGCGGGAGAGGAGAGUGGAAUUCCUGGUGUAGCGGUGAAAUGCGUAGAUAUCAGGAGGAACACCCGUGGCGAAGGCGGCUCUCUGGCCUGCAACUGACGCUGAGGUGCGAAAGCAUGGGGAGCAAACAGGAUUAGAUACCCUGGUAGUCCAUGCCGUAAACGAUGAGCGCUAGGUGUCCGCGGUAUCGACCCCGCGGGUGCCGCAGCUAACGCAAUAAGCGCUCCGCCUGGGGAGUACGGCCGCAAGGUUG
rnacentral:rRNA from 1 species